rnacentral:rRNA from 1 species
CGCGAAUGGCUCAUUACAACAGCUAACAAAUCUACUUGAUCUUGACACAAUCCUACUUGGAUAACUGUGGUAAUUCUAGAGCUAAUACAUGCAUUAAAGCUCUGACCUUCGGGGAAGAGUGCAUUUAUUAGAACAAAACCAAGCGGCUUCGGCUGUUUUCGGUUGACUCAUAGUAACUGAGCUGAUCGCAUGGUCUUGCACCGGCGACGUGUCUUUCGAGUAUCUGCCGUAUCAACUUUCGAUGGUAGUGUAUCUGACUACCAUGGUGAUGACGGGUAACGGAGGAUAAGGGUUCGACUCCGGAGAAGGGGCCUGAGAAAUGGCCACUACGUCUAAGGAUGGCAGCAGGCGCGCAAAUUACCCACUCUCAGAAUGAGGAGGUAGUGACGAGAAAUAACGAGACCGUUCUCUUAUGAGGCCAGUCAUCGGAAUGGGUACAAUUUAAACCCUUUAACGAGUAUCUAUGAGAGGGCAAGUCUGGUGCCAGCAGCCGCGGUAAUUCCAGCU